CCGAUUGCAGCUGUUGUCUGAAAACUUUGCACUCAUUGGUGCUGUGAGAAGUUGCAUUGUGCCAUUUGCAGUACUUCAUCUUCUUUAAUUCUUCAGCCGAUGGGAUUACAUGAUUGGGUGACAAUUUGAUCUGACCUUCCUGAAGUAGAAAGUCAAAUAUCCUAUCGGCUUUGGUGAUGUCAAAUGCGAACUUCUCCGGCUCUUUGUGCCCAAAAGGGCAAGACAUCGGCUUCUUAUUCUUUACCCAUUCUGCCAAGCCG
rnacentral:lncRNA from 1 species